rnacentral:rRNA from 1 species
GCAUGUUCAAGAUACGCCAUGCACGUCUAAGUACAAACUAAAUGAUGGUGAAACUGCAAAUGGCUCAUUACAACGGUUAUGAUGUACCCGGGAGUUCCGAUGGAUAUUUCCAGUAACACUAGAACUAAUACAUGUCCCUGCGUUUAUUAGUUUCGCACAGUCCGUCGCUGAGUCAUGGUAAACAGUUGAUCGACUCGACGUCCCGGAACAGUUUCCGCCCCAUCAGCUUCGAUGGUUGGGUAUUGGCCUACCAUUGCAACAACGGGUAACGAGGAAUUAGGGUUUGAUUUCGGAGAGGGAGCCUGAGAAACGGCUACCACAUCUACGGAUGGCAGCAGGCGCGCAAAUUACCCAAUGCAGACACUGUGAGGUAGUGACGAGAAAUAAUAAAGCGGGACUUCUGUUUCGCUAUUAUAAUGAGGAAUAACCAAAGGUCAUUCCGAUUAGCAACUGAUGGGAAAGUCUGGCGCCAGCAGCCGCGGUAAUACCAGCGUCAGUAG